rfam:Medicago truncatula strain A17 chromosome 4, whole genome shotgun sequence.
AUAUGAGCAAAAAUUCACCUUUUAGAUACAUUCAAUUAAUGAUGUAUUUGAUAUAUAAUAAAGACCACAUACAUCAUUAAUUGAAUGUAUCUAAAAAGUGAAUUUUUGCUUAUAU